ensembl:lncRNA
GCAGGAUUUACCCCCGGGCUCUGAUCUGAGAGGACUUCAGUACCGUUCCAAUAGCAGCUCUGACUGAUGACGAAGUGGACAACAAAGACUCUGGGGACUAAAGUGAGGGAUUUGAACGUCAGCCACUAGCACCAUCUGGCUCCCUUGUCACUCAGAGCCAAGAUGUCCGGUCGAACUGCAUGCUGGAGGGACACGUGUCACAGGCCACCUGACAAAGAUGUUUAAUAACAGACAAACACCUCCGUAUUCCCAGAUUAAUGAGGACUUUCUAGCACGUCCUCUUCAACUUUAUUUCCCUCAGACGACUCCGC